CUGGCUCAGGAUGAACGCUAGCUACAGGCUUAACACAUGCAAGUCGAGGGGCAGCGAGAGGAAAGCUUGCUUUCCUGCGGCGACCGGCGCACGGGUGAGUAACGCGUAUCCAACCUUCCCCAUAGUAGAGGAUAGCCCGGCGAAAGUCGGAUUAAUACUCUAUGUUGUGUCAUGAGGACAUCUGAAUAACACUAAAGAUUUAUCGCUAUGGGAUGGGGAUGCGUCUGAUUAGCUUGUCGGCGGGGUAACGGCCCACCGAGGCGACGAUCAGUAGGGGUUCUGAGAGGAAGGUCCCCCACAUUGGUACUGAGACACGGACCAAACUCCUACGGGAGGCAGCAGUGAGGAAUAUUGGUCAAUGGACGAGAGUCUGAACCAGCCAAGUAGCGUGCAGGAUGACUGCCCUAUGGGUUGUAAACUGCUUUUAUGCGGGAAUAAAGUCAGGUACGUGUACCUGUUUGUAUGUACCGCAUGAAUAAGGACCGGCUAAUUCCGUGCCAGCCGCCGC
rnacentral:rRNA from 1 species